rnacentral:rRNA from 1 species
ACUAGAGUAGCACUCGCAUAUCAAUAAGCGGAGGAAAAGAAACUAACAAGGAUUCCCCUAGUAACGGCGAGUGAAGCGGGAAGAGCUCAAAUUUGAAAUCUUAAAGGGUUUCCCUUUACGAAUUGUAGUUUAAAGAAGUGUUUUCUGUUGAGGUUUUGGUAAAAGUUCUUUGGAAUAGGACAUCAUAGAGGGUGAGAAUCCCGUAUUUGACCUUUACUUUCAACUUUGUGAUACACUUUCAAAGAGUCGGAUUGUUUGGGAAUGCAGUCCAAAAUGGGUGGUAAAUUUCAUCUAAAGCUAAAUAUUGGCGAGAGGACCGAUAGCGAACAAGUACCGUGAGGGAAAGAUGAAAAGAACUUUGAAAAGAGAGUUAAACAGUACGUGAAAUUGUCAAAAGGGAAGCGUUUGACACCAGUGUUGUUUUUCUGAAAAUCAAUUAAAGAGCUGUUUAUGCUAAGUUGUUUAGACUUUAUCAGCUAUCUGCUUAGUUUUGAGCUUUUCUUUAAUGCACUUUUCAGUUAACAAGUCAACAUCAAUUUCUUUUGCUGUAAAAAAGCUUGAGGAAGGUGGCUUGAGAUUCGUCUUAAGUGUUUAUAGCCUCUUGCCUAUGCAGUCGGAGAGAUUGAGGUCUGCAGCGUAGAUCCUUCGGGGCUAAAUGCAUUUGUGCUAAGUUAUAGCAUUUUAUAGACAACUUGUUGACUAUGAUUUGUCUUGUAGCUUACUCGCUUAUGUUAUUUUACCUACGCUUAGGAUGUUGAACUCUAUCACACACAG